rnacentral:rRNA from 1 species
AUUGAACGCUGGCGGCAUGCCUUACACAUGCAAGUCGAACGGCAGCACGGGAGCAAUCCUGGUGGCGAGUGGCGAACGGGUGAGUAAUAUAUCGGAACGUGCCCGGUCGUGGGGAUAACGUAGCGAAAGCUACGCUAAUACCGCAUACGAUCUACGGAUGAAAGCGGGGGAUCGCAAGACCUCGCGCGAUUGGAGCGGCCGAUAUCAGAUUAGGUAGUUGGUGAGGUAAAGGCUCACCAAGCCGACGAUCUGUAGCUGGUUUGAGAGAACGACCAGCCACACUGGGACUGAGACACGGCCCAGACUCCUACGGAGGCAGCAGU